CGAAGCCUGACGGAGCAAUACCGCGUGAGGGAAGAAGGCUUUUGGGUUGUAAACCUCUUUUGUCAGGGAAGAAGAAUUGACGGUACCUGAAGAAAAAGCAUCGGCUAACUCCGUGCCAGCAGCCGCGGUAAUACGGAGGAUGCAAGCGUUAUCCGGAAUCAUUGGGCGUAAAGGGUCCGCAGGUGGCGAAUAAAGUCUGCUGUUAAAGACCGGGGCUAAACUCCGGAAAGGCAGUGGAAACUGAUUAGCUAGAGUACGGUAGGGGUAGAGGGAAUUCCCAGUGUAGCGGUGAAAUGCGUAGAUAUUGGGAAGAACACCGGUGCGAAAGCGCUCUACUAGGCCGAAACUGACACUGAGGGACGAAAGCUAGGGUAGCGAAAGGGAUUAGAUACCCCUGUAGUCUUAGCGGUAAACGAUGGAUACUAGGUGUAGCUUGUAUUGACCCGAGCUGUGCCGAAGCUAACGCGAUAAGUAUCCCGCCUGGGGAGUACGCACGCAAGUGUGAAACUCAAAGGAAUUGACGGGGGCCCGCACAAGCGGUGGAGUAUGUGGUUUAAUUCGAUGCAACGCGAAGAACCUUACCAGGGCUUGACAUGUCGCGAAUCUAGCGGAAACGUUAGAGUGCCUUAGGGAAUGCGAACACAGGUGGUGCAUGGCUGUCGUCAGCUCGUGUCGUGAGAUGUUGGGUUAAGUCCCGCAACGAGCGCAACCCUCGUCCUUAGUUGCCAAUAUUAAGUUAGGCACUCUAGGGAGACUGCCGGGGACAACUCGGAGGAAGGUGGGGAUGACGUCAAGUCAGCAUGCCCCUUACGUCCUGGGCGACACACGUACUACAAUGGUUGGGACAAAGGGCAGCAAGCUCGCGAGAGUAAGCGAAUCUCAUCAAACCCAGCCACAGUUCAGAUUGCAGGCUGCAACUCGCCUGCAUGAAGUAGGAAUCGCUAGUAAUCGCAGGUCAGCAUACUGCGGUGAAUUCGUUCCCGGGCCUUGUACACACCGCCCGUCACACCAUGGAAGCUGGCUACGCCCGAAGUCGUUACCCUAACCCGGUUUUGGGAGGGGGAUGCCGAAGGUAGAGCUAGUGACUGGGGUGAAGUCGUAACAAGGUAGCCGUACCGGAAGGUGUGGCUGGAUCACCUCCUUUACAGGGAGACCUAGUCUAAUUACCAAUAGAUGAAAAAGUUGGUAAUUCGCAACAAUCCUUAGGUCGUGAGGGGAGCAAGAAAAAACUUUCAAACUGUAAUGGGUGAGGGUACUCGGGCUAUUAGCUCAGGUGGUUAGAGCGCACCCCUGAUAAGGGUGAGGUCCCUGGUCCAAGUCCAGGAUGGCCCACCUGAAAUACACAGGCAUCCUGCCUGUGCCACAAAAAAAGGAAAAAAUUUUAGCAUUGUCUCUUGUAAUCAAGAGCAAGAGAUAAUGCUGGAAUAGAUUCCAGCAAGAACCUUGAAAACUGCAUAGAACUAGAAAGAAAAAGUCAGGUAGAAAAUCCUACAAGCUAGAGCUAGAAAGAGCAAAAGGU
rnacentral:misc_RNA from 1 species